rnacentral:telomerase_RNA from 18 species
CAACAUCCAAACAUCUCAAGUUCCCAAACCCCCGGAAGUUGCCCGCACAGCGUCCAUCUUGGAACCGUCUCGAUCCAAGGCACGCCAAACCUCUGGAACCCACCCGAGAGGCAUUUCUCGUCAAUCUAUAUCGCACUGUGCAAGCCAGCAGUCGCCUUCCCGUCGUCGACCCGCGCCGUUCCAGCUUCCACUCUUUCGCUCACACGCACGGCGCCUCCCCCACAGUUCUCCGAUUCCAAUUUUCCGCAAGGAAUGUCAUCGCGACCGCCCCGCCGGUGUCUGGACACCCGCAGUACGUCGCAGCUUCGAUCCCGUAUCGGGUGCCUCUCAAGCCUGCCGCGCCUGGAUUACUGCGGUUCAGUUCUUGUCCGCCGGGCAAGCCAGUCCCGCGGGGCGAAUUGGUCUCGGAACUUAACCCUAAGUAUACCUUUGGUUCUGAAAAGUCUUGCGCUCCUAUAGUCGUUCGGACCGCCUUCUAUGCUCGCGUCUUUCGAGGGGUACGUCGCCACUGGCCGCUGAAAAGUGGUGUGGCACUGCUCCGGCGAGGACGUGGGCGGACCGGCGGGAUGGGCUCCAGUCACCGGCUCGGUGGGCGACCGUCCCUUCCCAUGAGUCCACACGGUAAGCGCCUCUGGCCCGAGGCCGCUCGUCGGGAAUCGGACACUGGAACUAGUACUCUGGUCAAUGCGGAUUGCCUGUGGCGGUGUUGGCUGGACGACCGAGUGUCGGCGGAUACCUCCGGGCAGCUUGUCUGCUUGCAUGCUCCCAUGGGCUGGCUCCUGCUUGCAGUCCCAGCUUCCGGAAUGAGAGGGAGAGCGCAGCAUCUGGCUCCACACGAUCAUCCAGUACAUUUCACCACAUUGUCUGCAGCUCACCUCGCAGGAAUCACUUCGGUGAGCGAGGGCUGUUCGACUCCACGCGGAAAUGUCGAAGGAUGAUGUCCACCACGCCGUGCUGUCACGUUCUCGGUACCCUCGAUUUCCGUCUCUUCUUGCAUGCGUAUCCAACCGCCUCGCGGCUCCGCCGACCCCCAUGGACCGCGCUGCGGCACCAUGCCCACGCGUCAUGAAACCAUGAGGUCCGACCAGGCGCAUUAACUUGUCCUCGUAGGCGUCCGUCCUACGUCCGACAAGACGACCAAAACACCCCGUGUCUCGCUGUGCCUUCGGGUGCCGAGCACUCCCUCCCUCCGCCGGGUCUGAAAGAACGAUUUUCGGCUGGAGAUGACAGCGCGGUUUUUGAGGACGUCUUUUGUCCGUGCGGUACCGCCCUCCUUGGUCGGCUCCGCCUACUCGGCGGUCGGCAGUGGAGAGGAAUCAAAAACUAGUCCCAGUUGGCAGUGCGACACACACGGAGAGCAGUGGCUGGCUCGGCGUCUCGGCACGGGGAAGUGCACCGCUGGCUGCCGAGUUUGACGAGAUCUGCAUCAAUGACGGUCGGCUUCUGCUUAAAGGUUGGGCGUUGCGGAGGAUCCUGACACUCUGUGGGGGGUUGGGGGUUGGGACUUAGUUGGCUGAUUGAGGAACAAUGCGUCAACCUGGGUUCUCCUGAUGAAGGCGGCAGGUGGAGACGGAUCCGGGUCCGGGACCCAUCUCGAGUUGGAGUCAAAGCUUUGUGCUUGUCUGGCGCUCGGAUUCUGUCUCCUUCGGCUCUCCAGAGUCGGAGCUCUCCAGGGAGCGCUUUGUUGUUCGAUGCCGGCUGGUUGGAAAAGGACGGGCCCUUGGGGGCGGUCCUGGUUGUCUUCUCUCCAGAAAUGGCGGGAAGACAACCCCUCAUUUUGGAGG